AAUGAGGCUAAUAAUUUGAUAUUAAAACAAAAAGAAAACUAUUUCUAUAAUAUAAAUAGACGGUGAAUUAUCUUGGGUUAAAUAUAUUUGCAGAAAUAAUAAUCCACGGAUCGAUCGUACAAAUCGGGUUCUAGAAAAUGGCUAAAGAAAACAAGAUUUCGGAAUUAUUGAACGAUCCCGAUUUCUUCGACUUGAUAAAAGCAAAGAUAAACAAGGAUUUGUGUAAUCUAAAGAAAAUUGUAGAUAAUAUAAAUCAAAUGAGAGUGGAUGCGAAUCAAAUAGAAAACAAUUUAAUGUCAGCUGUAGGAGCAAAUUCCUGGGAAGAGAUUGCUAACUUCAUUGGUCAUAAGCCACUCCAAUUCAUUGCUUUUGAUAUAAAACAUGAACAUUAAAUUAUUGAAAUAA